rnacentral:rRNA from 1 species
CUGAACCAGCCAAGUAGCGUGAAGGAUGACUGCCCUAUGGGUAGUAAACUUCUUUUAUAAAGGAAUAAAGUCGGGUAUGCAUACCCGUUUGCAUGUACUUUAUGAAUAAGGAUCGGCUAACUCCGUGCCAGCAGCCGCGGUAAUACGGAGGAUCCGAGCGUUAUCCGGAUUUAUUGGGUUUAAAGGGAGCGUAGAUGGAUGUUUAAGUCAGUUGUGAAAGUUUGCGG